GCGGGAAGGAUGAUGCUGGCUCUGUGGCCAGAGCGGCGGAUGCAGACCGGGAACAGGGUUGACGUUUGGCUAACGAGACGUGUGUCCCGAAGCAGCCGGCGCCGGUGUCGCUGAGGCGGCGCGGAGGGCUGACUGACUGAAGGCGGCAACCCGAGAGCCGGCCCCGGCAGGGGACCGCGCGGUGGACGAAAUGCCGGGACCACCGGCAUCAUCGCCGCUGCCGAUGCCGCUGCUGCUGCUUCUGCUCUUGACCGUCGGCAGUGCCCGGGCCGCGCCACUUCCGCAAACAGGUGCAGGGGACGCACCUGUUGUAGAAGUUCCCUCCUUGUUUGUGAUCCUGUCGGUGUGCAGUUUAAUGGUACUGAUAGUGUUAAUUGCAAACUGUGUUUCCUGCUGUAAGGACCCAGAAAUAGACUUUAAGG
rnacentral:lncRNA from 1 species